GGUGAAUGUCCCUGUCCUUCCUCCUCCGAGGCACUGUGAGGAUUAAUUACAUAGAGUAAAGUGGAGUGGGAGAAGCAAAGUCACUGCAAUAUUUAGGGUUUCAAUAUGAUGGUGUCUGUUGGGAAACGCUUGCAAUCAGUAGGUGAUGCCAUUUAAGAAAUCAAGAGGUACUGAGUGUAAGAAGAGAUUUUGCAAGUGUUUAGAUGCUUGGCUAUUUUUUUCAGUAGUGCCCACUAAUUUGGGCAUGUUUUGUUCUCUGGAUGUCCAGCUGGAGAUGGCUCAUAGAAGCUCAUGUUUGGAAGUCAAAUACUGAAGUCAUGGCUUCUUCAGGGUGUACCAGCACAGCUGGGCACAGAGGCAGUGAGCAUCCCUGUGACCCAGGUCUCAGCAUGGGAAAACCACUGGACUGUUUUCUUCUUGCCAAAACACUGUCUCAUCACUGCACAGGAAAGCAUCUCGCUGGUGACUGAAUUUGUAAAUAGUGCAGUAACAUGAACCCAUCACACAUCAGAAACAGCUGGCUUUACAGUGGUCAGGGCUAGGUGGACUUGGUCCUCCAUCUCUUCUGUGUCAUGAACCUAACAUUCCUCAUUGGCUGCCCAGUGGUCUGAUGUCAAGAGGAGCCAAGACAUCUUUCCUUCCCUCCAGCCAGUGUGGGUGCUUUGACAGGAUGUGCUGGAUUGAUCUCAGACUGAAGGGUACCCAAUUGAGAAAUGUUCUCACCAUCACCAUAUCAACAAGGACGACUGUGAGAAGUCAAGUGCGUUGGAGUCAGACUCAUCUCACCACCUUCAUCUGUCCAACUUCAGCACCAUCGGCUUGAUGCUGAGACUCUAUAUAAAGGAAUUUAGGAUGGAAUGAACCAUCAUGCCUCCUGUGGAAACAUGAGGUCUACAAUUAUCUAUUUCUAUCCACAGGAUUUUAAAGGAGCCCAGAACUGCCACUUACAGUGUAAAUACCCAGUAUCAGCUUAGAUAAAUCCUGUGUUUGACCCCUGAGAUACUCAGUAGGUCUCAGACUCCCAGUCUUACCUCCCACUCACCUGGGUGCAGUGCACGCUGUAUAUAUACAGCACCAGUCCCUGCUCAGCCUGUCUUAAUUAAUAACAGCUUUAUUAUCUGAUAGGGACUAACAGAAUAUAACCUGUGACACAGAAGGCUCCUGCCCUGAGGAUGUUUCCCUGUAGACAGAUGGCAAGUAGAAAAUAUGCCAGAAAUGCUCUGCCUCAGAAAGUUCCCUUUCAGGCAUUGCUGACUGGUGUGGGUGCCAGUUACAGAAGAGGUCUUCAAGGCUAAGGCAGUGUGG
rnacentral:lncRNA from 1 species